CCUACGGGGGGCAGCAGUGGGGGAUAUUGCACAAUGGGGGGAACCCUGAUGCAGCGACGCCGCGUGGGUGAAGGAGCGUUUCGGCGCGUAAAGCCCUAUCGGCAGGGAAGAAGAUGACGGUACCUGGCCAAGAAGCCCCGGCUAACUACGUGCCAGCAGCCGCGGUAAUACGUAGGGGGCAAGCGUUAUCCGGAUUUACUGGGUGUAAAGGGGGCGCAGACGGCAAUGCAAGCCAGGAGUGAAAGCCCGGGGCCCAACCCCGGGACUGCUCUUGGAACUGCAUGGCUGGAGUACAGGAGGGGCAGGCGGAAUUCCUAGUGUAGCGGUGAAAGGCGUAGAUAUAUGGAAGAACACCAGUGGCGAAGGCGGCUGUCUGGUCUGCAACUGACGCGGAGGCUCGAAAGCAUGGGUAGCGAACAGGAUUAGAUACCCCAGUAGUC
rnacentral:rRNA from 1 species